GAGGGAGAGCCCCUUUGGACAGAUUGUAUACAAUGCUCUCUGCAGAGGUUCCUCUGAUCCUGCCACUGCACAGAUUUACUGCUCCCUGCAUCCAGAGUGGAAGGAGCAGGAGGUUCACUCCACUCACUCCUUCUGCAACAGCACUGGAAUCAGAACUUUGGAAUCGGAAGCAGUGAGUGAAAACUCCACUUGGGAAUCAAGUCCCCUGUAGCAGGGCUGUACAGAUUACUCCACCUUGCCACCUGUCAUGGGUUUUUAAAAUUUGAAAGGUCUGAUAAUAGCUACAAGGACCUGGGCAAUAUUGAGCAAGAGGAAGCAGACCCGGGAUUGAUAAAUCAUAAGGGUUUUCCUAUAUAAGAAGGAUACAGAAUCAUCAUAGAAGCACUUGUUUGAUGCUUUAGAAAAGGAAAAGCCACAAGCUAAACAGGAAGACAUGCAAUUCUCAAUCACAGCAGCUCUUUGAAGGUGAAUUUCUGUUUACCUAAGAGCGCUUCCCACCAGGAGGAUUUAACUAAGCCAGGGGUGGUCAACCUGUGGCUCCGGAGCCACAUGCGGCUCUUCAGAGG